rnacentral:lncRNA from 1 species
CAUGUAUGAAAGUUCCUUAUAUAGAAUUCAAUACUACAAAACUCAGAUAUGCUCCCUCCAUCUUCGCCUUCAAUUUCUAAAUCAUUCCCUCAUUUUAUAACAACAGAAUCCAACUAAAGUCAAGAAGAACCCACUUUUUUCUUCUUUUAUUUUUUCUUCUUAAUACUCCAUUUUCAAUUCAAUUAUUAUGCUACAUACUACAAAUUUCACAUAUAUAUAACCAAAUAAUAACAAUGCAUCGUUUCUCUUUUAGAACCAAACCCCUUAUUCGUUUCUCUCUUCGUCAUUAUCGAAAUAUUUCAUCAUCUUCACCGUCACCGUUACCGUCUUCUUCAACUAGAAACCCUAUUGAUAUACCUGAUAGUAGUUUAGGAAAUUCCCAAAAUGGCCCUUCAUCUAUUCAACGUGAUCAUCGUCUUUCUCCUCUUCCUCCUCAAUCUAUCUCCCGCGCUUCCGUCAUCGCUCUCUCCGCCGCCGUGGCCUCCGCCGUCUUCGCUUCCGUCGCGAUUCUCUCAUCGGAUUACAAAAUUGAUCGCGGUAGUGACGAAGGAAAAGCCGCGAAUCCUCUUUACACCGGCGCGGAGAACGUUAUCCAUAAGUCCGCUGAUUCUUUCAACCGGAUUUUCCACCACGUUAAACGUACCGGCGUUGCGGCGACUGUUCUAUGGCAGUCGCUCAGCUCGGUGCUCUCAUCCGCUAACCACGAGGUUCGGUCUGGAUUCGAGAUUCGUGUUGCGGCGCUGCUUGCGGAUAUUGCGGCAGCAAAUUCUACACGCAGGGCUGCGAUUGUUGGAGCUGGUGGUGGUGCUGUCGUAGAUUGGUUGCUGGAGUCGGUGGCGGUGGCGAAGGAUGGCGGUGGAACUCAGGCGGAGUCUGCGAGGGCGCUGGCGUAUUUGAUUGCGGAUCCUAACGUUUCUGCUGAUGUUCUUGGAAGGCCUCAUGCCAUUACAAACCUUCUCAGGUUCAUUUUCUCAUGCCAUCCUCGGCGUUCAAAGAGCAAGGUAAUCGUCUCUCUCUCUCUCUAGCUUUUCGGUGUUAGUUGUAUAGUUUUCGUUUUGGUAAGAUUGAAAGUUUAGGGAACCCUAGUUUAGGAUUGGCAUUGUCAAAUUGAGGAAUCAAUUGAACUUAAUCACAAGUGACUGUAUUUUUGUC